GACGAACGCUGGCGGCGUGCUUAACACAUGCAAGUCGAACGGAAAGGCCCUGCUUUUGUGGGGUGCUCGAGUGGCGAACGGGUGAGUAACACGUGAGUAACCUGCCCUUGACUUUGGGAUAACUUCAGGAAACUGGGGCUAAUACCGGAUAGGAGCUCCUGCUGCAUGGUGGGGGUUGGAAAGUUUCGGCGGUUGGGGAUGGACUCGCGGCUUAUCAGCUUGUUGGUGGGGUAGUGGUUUACCAAGGCUUUGAAGGGUAGCCGGCCUGAGAGGGUGAACGGCGACAUGGGGACUGAGAGACGGCGCAGUAUGCAACGGGAGGCAGCAGUGGGGAGUAUUGCACAAUGGCCGGAAGCCUGAUGCAGCAACGCCGCGUGCGGGAUGACGUCCUUCGGGUUAUAAACCGCUGUGGCCGGUGACGAAGCGGGAGUGACGGUAAUGGGUAAAGAAGCACCGGCUAACUACGUG
rnacentral:rRNA from 1 species